rnacentral:rRNA from 1 species
CGUAGGUGAACCUGCGGAGGGAUCAUUACCGAGUUUACAACUCCCAAACCCAUGUGAACAUACCUAUUGUUGCUUCGGCGGGAUUGCCCCGGGCGCCUCGUGUGCCCCGGAUCAGGCGCCCGCCUAGGAACUUUAACUCUUGUUUUAUUUUGAAUCUUCUGAGUAGUUUUUACAAAUAAAUAAAAACUUUCAACAACGGAUCUCUUGGUUCUGGCAUCGAUGAAGAACGCAGCGAAAUGCGAUAAGUAAUGUGAAUUGCAGAAUUCAGUGAAUCAUCGAAUCUUUGAACGCACAUUGCGCCCGCCAGUAUUCUGGCGGGCAUGCCUGUCUGAGCGUCAUUUCAACCCUCAUGCCCCUAGGGCGUGGUGUUGGGGAUCGGCCAAAGCCCGCGAGGGACGGCCGGCCCCUAAAUCUAGUGGCGGACCCGUCGUGGCCUCCUCUGCGAAGUAGUGAUAUUCCGCAUCGGAGAGCGACGAGCCCCUGCCGUUAAACCCCCAACUUUCCAAGGUUGACCUCAGAUCAGGUAGGAAUACCCGCUGAACUUAA